rnacentral:rRNA from 1 species
AUUCGAAGCAACGCGAAGAACCUUACCAAGUCUUGACAUCCUUCUGACCGGAACUUAACCGUUCCUUCCCUUCGGGGCAGAAGUGACAGGUGGUGCAUGGUUGUCGUCAGCUCGUGUCGUGAGAUGUUGGGUUAAGUCCCGCAACGAGCGCAACCCCUAUCCCCAGUAGCCAGCGGUUCGGCCGGGCACUCUGAGGAGACUGCUCAGGGAUAACCUGGAGGAAGGCGGGGAUGACGUCAAAUCAUCAUGCCCCUUAUGAUUUGGGCUACACACGUGCUACAAUGGCGUAAACAAAGGGAAGCGAACCUGCGAGGGUGGGCAAAUCCCAAAAUAACGUCCCAGUUCGGACUGUAGUCUGCAACCCGACUACACGAAGCUGGAAUCGCUAGUAAUCGCGGAUCAGAAUGCCGCGGUGAUACGUUCCCGGUCUUGCACUCACCGCCCGUCA